UUUGUGGAGGAAUACAAAGUCACAACACUGUGGAGAUGCUGACACAGAGAUUUUUACAGAUUUAUAUGAUGGACAAAACUUCAAACAUCACCAGUUUUUUAAUGGAAAGCCUGAAACUGAUUUUGUACCAAGACUCAUUCGUUGUGAAUCCCUUGGUUUUCUGCUAAGAGGAAACACAAAGUUCUUCAGUCUAUCUGUCAGUAGCUAAUUGACCCAUUCAUUUACGUUCAAACACUGAUAAUAUAUUUUUAGUUUUGUUGUGUGUUGAGAAUGACCUUAAACACUUUGGAAUAAGCAAAGUUUUUUCAGAGUUGUUGACAGAUCUGAAAUCCUUGGAAACAGAUGGAAGACAUGUAGAUGGAGAAACUGUAAAAGGGGGUACUGCGUAUUCACAAGAAGUGAGUUUGAGGCUGAUCCGAAUGCUUGCGGUUCUCCACGCACCCCAGAGACAUACGACGCAGCUGUUGCUGAUCUUCAGGCUGAAAACAUCUGAGAAGUCAGAGGAAUAAAGUUCAUAGGACAGUCGUGCUAUUCCUCAACAAGGUACCUGCUGAGUCUGGAUCGGACUCUUAUCAACACAAACAUCCCUUCCUUCAUUUCUGCGUUGUGCCGAAUGUUCGGGAGCUACUACUGUUUCAACAUCCAUUAUCCAUCUGAGCUGGCUUCAACUCUGGAAUUUCUUCAAAGGUGUUUUUUCUCGAUAAACCCUGAAAAAGGAACUAAAGUGGAGAAUAAAAACUCAAAGCGUGGUCUCAGCGUGAACCCUCGAGUCCUCACCCUGAUACAGGAACUCUCCGAUCAUGAGUGGUGUGACACCUAAAUAAGGAUCUUUCUGUGGACUCUUUGUUCAUCGAAGAGGUUCUGCAAGUUGUUGCUUUGUGGACGGUUCCUUGGAGAAAAAGUGCUACAAGUUUCUGCUUUCAAUCUAUCAUUUGUAUUGUGUUAAUUAAAGCAUAGGCAGCUUUGUUAUCGUUUUUGUUUGAAGUGUUAAGGUAACUUCUUAAAAAUGUAAAGAUUCUUUAAUAUUUACAUUUAAUUGGGUUUUUGUUUUUCACCUGACACUGUAAACCUUUCAAUUGACUAAAAUGGUCCUGAUACAAAGAGGCUAAUGUUUUGGAGUCUUUCAACUUGGGUACAUAGUCGAAGAACCGAUGUAGAGUUUCUUUUCAUGCAAGGUUUGUUGUAUAGGCCUACACUGGAAAAAAAAUGCACCCAAUUGUUCAAAACUAGAGACAGUUAUGGUUGUUUAAUACAUUUUUCUGAAAUGAUAUGUUCCUUUCCUCAUUUCAAGAUGUUUUGCAUGUUUAGUAAUUAUGACAAUAGCAGCAGCAGGAAUCAAUGAGCAGGUUUAAUUAGUAACUACCAGUAUAACCUGAUUAUUAAAACAUACAAAUACUGCAUAUUAUGAAUAGAUUUUAUGUGUAAUACACAGAACACCUUUAUUUUAUGAACAAACUUUUACUGUGGUUCUACCAGUUUAAAUUAGUUUUUUGUUCAAUAUUUCCCUGUAAAUUCUGCCAGUUAUUGAUGCAGUAAAAACAUUUAUUACAUGUAAAAAAUACAGGAAAGGGUCUUUCUAUAUAAUACUGCUAUACAAAAUUAACAUUUAAUUUUUGUAGAUUUAACAUAUUUUUAAGGUGAUUUUGCUGUGAUUUCAGUCACUAUAAAUUAAAUGACAUCGUUUUUUAA